rnacentral:hammerhead_ribozyme from 1 species
AUCCAGCUCACGAGUCCCAAAUAGGACGAAAUGUGCAUCCUGGAU